CGUUCCCGGGUCUUGUACACACCGCCCGUCACACCAUGGGAGCGGGUUUUACCAGAAGUGGGUAGCCUAACCGCAAGGAGGGCGCCUACCACGGUAGGAUUCGUGACUGGGGUG
rnacentral:rRNA from 1 species